rnacentral:rRNA from 1 species
AUACGGAGGGGGUUAGCGUUGUUCGGAAUUACUGGGCGUAAAGCGCACGUAGGCGGAUUGGAAAGUUGGGGGUGAAAUCCCGGGGCUCAACCCCGGAACUGCCUCCAAAACUUCCAAUCUAGAGAUCGAGAGAGGUGAGUGGAAUUCCAAGUGUAGAGGUGAAAUUCGUAGAUAUUUGGAGGAACACCAGUGGCGAAGGCGGCUCACUGGCUCGAUACUGACGCUGAGGUGCGAAAGCGUGGGGAGCAAACAGGAUUAGAUACCCUAGUAGUCC